rfam:Schistosoma mansoni, Puerto Rico, WGS project CABG01000000 data, contig: 0187
AUUAGUCCCAAAUAGGACGAAACGCGCGUCCUGGAU